rnacentral:rRNA from 1 species
UACAGAGGUGGCAAGCGUUGUUCGGAAUUACUGGGCGUAAAGGGCGCGUAGGCGGCCAUCCAAGUCAGACGUGAAAUCCCCCGGCUUAACCUGGGAACUGCGUCUGAUACUGGACGGCUUGAGUAUGGGAGAGGGAUGUAGAAUUCCAGGUGUAGCGGUGAAAUGCGUAGAUAUCUGGAGGAAUACCGGUGGCGAAGGCGGCAUCCUGGACCAUUACUGACGCUGAGGCGCGAAAGCUAGGGGAGCAAACGGG